GUGUAGAGCCUAGUGACGUGUGGGAUCACACGCCGGAUGUACGUACAGAUGCUGACUGUCCGCCUUCCACCUGCAAUACAAACGGAUAAUCUAGUCAAUCUAUGCUGUGAUUUGCUGUUCUGUUUUACUAACGGUGUAUCUGAUGUCAUAACGCGAAGUCUAUAUAAGUUCUGGUCAUUCCUAAUAUCGGUAUCAGUAGUCUGAGAUUUACUUCUGAGACUGCUUUCUAAUUACAAUUUCCUAGCGUUGUGAACUGUGAUGUGAAUUGGAUAAAGAGACAGCAAUACUUGUUCCUACGGAAGUGCAUAGUCGUUCCCGGAUUAUCGCUUAGUAUACAGGUUUGCUCGUGACACAAUCGUCCUAGCUCUUGCCGAUCCUCACAGGACUUACGACCGGAGAUUGUAGUUGGAUUAUCGUUAGGGAUUCCUGAGUUCUCGUGUUCCUGAUUCGUUCGUCUUAUUUUCAUCAUAAUUCAUCUGUUACAGUUUGAGAGUACGAGUGCCUACCGACUGACAUUACAGGCGUGGAAGAGUAAAGAUUGUUCAUGGAGCUCUAACCAGCGUGAACGCUUAUACACGACACUAGCAUCAUUAAUAUUCUUGCUGGAUGAAAAAGGCAUGUAAAUUGCAAAAGACCAGUUUUACGGUUAAAAGAAAAAACGGUUAACUGGAGUCGGGGCCGCAAAGAGAUCGUUUUGCUCACCUCACAUGGGCCGCCAAGUGGAUUUUCGUACUUCGGUGUUGUACUUUGGACCGAUCGCAUCAUGAGCAGUUGAGGACAAAGCCUGGCAUUGGCACUCAAAAUAAGUUUUAUCGUAGAGCGGCAUGAGUCAGCUGUUCCUUAACAACUCCGCACCGUAUGCCACAAACUAAUCAUGGGCAUUCUCAGCAAAGCAAUUUUCUGUUGAUAUGGUGUCUCGCCAUUUAGCAGCAUGGAAUCUUUUGCAGGAAAAAACAUUCUACUGUUAAGAACACCUGGAAACCGGAGAAAAGCGAGCCACGGGAUUUCUGCGCCGGCGGAUCAGCAUCGAAAUCCAACGCGGCAAUGCGGCAUCUAUCUUGGGAACGGCACCGAUAGGCGCAAAUUUAGAUCAAAUGUUCUCUAUGAUUAGACCGCAUGGGUCAGUUGAUGCUGAGUAAUAAGUUAUGUUUUCUUGAGGUUUUCAGUAUAUGAUGUUGGACGUGAAUAAAAACUGGAAGUAC